UGGCCAGACUCCUACGGGAGGCAGCAGUGAGGAAUAUUGGUCAAUGGGCGGAAGCCUGAACCAGCCAAGUCGCGUGAGGGAAGAAGGCCCUGCGGGUCGCAGACCUCUUUGGACGGGGAGCAAGGCCGCCGACGUGUCGGCGGAAGGAGAGUACCCGUAGAACAAGCAUCGGCUAACUCCGUGCCAGCAGCCGCGGUAAUACGGAGGAUGCGAGCGUUAUCCGGAUUUAUUGGGUUUAAAGGGUGCGCAGGCGGCACGGCAAGCCGGCGGUCAAAUCGCGGGGCUCAACCCCGCCCAGCCGUCGGAACUGCCGGGCUAGAGUGGGCGAGAAGUGCGCGGAAUGCGUGGUGUAGCGGUGAAAUGCAUAGAUAUCACGCAGAACUCCGAUUGCGAAGGCAGCUUACUAAGCCAUAACUGACACUGAAGCACGAAAGCGUGGGGAUCAAACAGGAUUAGAUACCCCAGUAUU
rnacentral:rRNA from 1 species